AGUGACAUCAAAAUACUUUUGAAGUUGACUGAAAAUGUGGUUGCUUUUGUUUGAGAAUGGCAAAUUAAAGAAUUGGAUAUUGGGUUCUUAUCUCAGAAGAAACAAAGGAGGAGACCCUGAAAAACUGAACAUGAAGAGGAAGAAGUGGAGUUAUGCAACUCUUCAUAAGGCUGGUUCCACCACCGGUCAGAAGAAUGAAAAUUGCAGAUACCUAUUCUGUGUGUUUCUCUCCAGAAUGGUGGAUGUUAGAGACCCUACUAAGGAUUUGUGGACUCACUAACGUAGUCUCUAAAAGGUGCUACAUCUGUACAAAUGAAUCCAAUGUUUCCAUGUGAGUCCAAAGUUCUCAAAUUCUUCACUGGCAGCAUUAUACAUUUUGGUGUAAAGUCUAUUUUCAUGGUUUAAAAAGUCAGACUAUUUUCCUGGGACAUUUGAUGAUAGAGAAUAAUUCAAUUUGCCAAAUAAUAUUAUUUUAAUUGACUUGCUUCCCAAACUGACUCUUGUCUAGCAAUUACACUUAUAGGUAUAAUUGUAUUUUUGUAUAAGUCUGAUUGAACAACCUUUGAAAUAUUUAUGCACAUUUAAAAUAAGAGGCUAUGUUUCACCAAUGGUUAUCAAUAAAAAAU
rnacentral:lncRNA from 1 species